GGCUCAGGACGAACGCUGGCGGCGUGCUUCAUACAUGCAAGUCGAACGAGAAUCGUUACUUCGGUAAGAGGAAAGUGGCGACGGGUGAGUAAUAUGUAGAGAAUCUGCCCUUAAGCGGGGGACAACAGUUGGAAACGACUGCUAAUACCCCAUAUGAGCGUACCUGAAAUGGUAUUCUUGAAAACUCCGGUGCUUAAGGAUGAGUCUGCAUCUGAUUAGCUAGUUGGGGGUGUAAUGGACCACCAAGGCGACGAUCAGUAGCUGGUUUGAGAGGAUGAUCAGCCACAAUGGGACUGAGACACGGCCCAUACUCCUACGGGAGGCAGCAGUAGGGAAUUUUGCGCAAUGGGCGAAAGCCUGAACCGCAGCAACGCCGCGUGAACGAGAAGCCCUUCGGGGUGUAAAGUUCUGUCAGUAGGGACGAACAAUGACUGUACCUACAGAGGAAGCGCCGGCUAACUCCGUGCCAGCCGCCGC
rnacentral:rRNA from 1 species